rnacentral:rRNA from 1 species
GUGCCAGCAGCCGCGGUAAUACGGAGGGUGCAAGCGUUGUCCGGAUUUAUUGGGUUUAAAGGGUGCGUAGGCGGCUAAUUAAGUCAGCGGUGAAAUUCCACAGCUUAACUGUGUGAACUGCCAUUGAUACUGGUUGGCUUGAGUACAGAUGAGGUAGGCGGAAUUGACAGUGUAGCGGUGAAAUGCUUAGAUAUUGUCAAGAACACCUAUUGCGAAGGCAGCUUACUAAACUGUAACUGACGCUGAGGCACGAAAGCGUGGGGAUCAAACAGGAUUAGAUACCCUGGUAGUCC